rnacentral:rRNA from 1 species
UACGAAGGGGGCUAGCGUUGCUCGGAAUUACUGGGCGUAAAGCGCACGUAGGCGGAUUGUUAAGUCGGGGGUGAAAUCCUGGAGCUCAACUCCAGAACUGCCUUCGAUACUGGCGAUCUCGAGUUCGGGAGAGGUGAGUGGAACUGCGAGUGUAGAGGUGAAGUUCGUAGAUAUUCGGAAGAACACCAGUGGCGAAGGCGACUUACUGGACGAUUGUUGACGCUGAGGUGCGAAAGCGUGGGGAGCAAACAGG